GCGGGUAUAGCUCAGUGGUAGAGCGUCUCGUUGCCAACGAGAAGGUCGAGGGUUCGACCCCCUUUGCCCGCUCCA
rnacentral:tRNA from 4 species